rnacentral:rRNA from 1 species
AACGAACGCUGGCGGCAUGCCUAACACAUGCAAGUCGAACGAAGCUUUCGGGCUUAGUGGCGCACGGGUGCGUAACACGUGGGAAUCUGCCCUUCGGUUCGGAAUAACAGUUAGAAAUGACUGCUAAUACCGGAUGAUGACGUAAGUCCAAAGAUUUAUCGCCGAAGGAUGAGCCCGCGUAGGAUUAGGUAGUUGGUAGGGUAAUGGCCUACCAAGCCGACGAUCCUUAGCUGGUCUGAGAGGAUGAUCAGCCACACUGGGACUGAGACACGGCCCAGACUCCUACGGGAGGCAGCAGUGGGGAAUAUUGGACAAUGGGCGAAAGCCUGAUCCAGCAAUGCCGCGUGAGUGAUGAAGGCCUAGGGUUGUAAAGACUCUUUUACCAGGGAUGAUAAUGACAGUACCUGGAGAAUAAGCUCCGGCUAACUCCGUGCCAGCAGCCGCGGUAA